UCCUUCUACUACUAUCUUCAUUAAUACAUAUAUUUUCAUUUUAUGUUAAGGCUCUUUUUAAGAAUAAUUUCUCUCUGUUAUAUGUUAAGGUUAAUUGUGUAUGUUCUAUAUUAUAUGGUUUUACUUGUUCUAGCCAUUUUAUUCCUAAUAUUAUGUCUGCUUUUUGCAUUUCUUCCUUUACUUCAAAUUCUAUUUUUAUUUUUCUAAUUCCUAUUAUUAUUUCUUUUUCUGCUAUAUUUUUACUAUUUAUUAAACUUCUUGGUAGAUCUGGGCAUAUAUCAUUAUCAGUUUUUAUUUCUUCAUUUUUUACUAGAUAUUUUGCUAUAUAAUUUUCUUCUUGUCCUGUAUUUAAGAGUAUUAAAUAUU
rnacentral:lncRNA from 1 species